UCGGGGGAAGAAUCACGAAGCAAAGCCAUAAACAUUGAAGGGUCUCCAUUCUGUGAAAAACACUUUAGUAAUGAUAAAACUAUAAUCAGUUCAUACCAGUAAGAUCCCAUUCACUGCCGUUAUAAAAUCGUAAUAAGACUCAAUUCUGGCAUUAUAGGCUUUCGAAUCGUUUUCAACCUUUAAUACUCUGAAACCACAUGAUUCAUCUGAUUCUCGAUGAAUACCAGCUAAAGCUUCUGAUUUUUCUUUAAUAAAGUUCUUUAAACCACCAAACAUUUCGAUUGUUUAGUACUUAAAUAGGGUUGGUGGUGAUUUAGGUAAUGGCGCGGUUGACUCGCUAUGAUAUUAAGUUCAUACAGUCGGAAAUUUAUGUGAGUAAAAUGAUGCUGAUAUUAAUAAAUUAAAACAAAAAAAGGAAAAAGAAAAAUUAAUAAAGCUGUUGGAAGCAAUC